GCCAAUGNUUUUUUGAUAAUCAAAGUAGAACCAUCUGGAAAGUUGGGCCAUAGUAGGUGAUAGCCCUGUAUAUUAAUGAUUAUCUUAAAAAUUCGAGUAGGACGGGACACGUGAAAUCUUGUCUGAACGUGGGGGGACCACCCUCCAAGCCUAAGUACUCUUUAGCGACCGAUAGUGAACAAGUACCGUGAGGGAAAGGUGAAAAGAACCCCGACGAGGGGAGUGAAAUAGAUCUGAAACUGUAUGCUUACAAUCAGUCGGAGCCCGCAAGGGUGACGGCGUACCUUUUGUAUAAUGGGUCAGCGACUUAAUUUAUCAAGCAAGCUUAAGCCGAUAGGUGUAGGCGUAGCGAAAGCGAGUCUUAAUAGGGCGUCUAGUUUGGUGGAUUAGACCCGAAACCGAGUGAUCUAGCUAUGAGCAGGUUGAAGGUGCAGUAACAUGCACUGGAGGACCGAACCCACUUAUGUUGAAAAAUGAGGGGAUGACUUGUGGCUAGGGGUGAAAGGCCAAUCAAACUCGGAGAUAGCUGGUUCUCCGCGAAAUCUAUUUAGGUAGAGCGUCAUGUGAAUACCAUCGGGGGUAGAGCACUGGAUGGGCUAGGGGGACUCACCGUCUUACCAAACCUAACCAAACUCCGAAUACCGAUGAGUAAUGCAUGGCAGACACACUAUGGGUGCUAAGGUCCAUAGUGGAAAGGGAAACAGCCCUAACCGCCAGUUAAGGUCCCUAAAUUAUUGCUAAGUUGAAAAGGAUGUGGAACGUCCAAAACAGCCAGGAGGUUGGCUUAGAAGCAGCCAUCCUUUAAAGAAAGCGUAACAGCUCACUGGUCUAAUCAAGAUGUUCCGUGCCGAAAAUGUAACGGGGAUCAAGCAAUAUACCGAAACUGCGGGUGCUAUUUAUAGCGCGGUAGCGGAGCGUUCCGUAAGUCUGUGAAGAAUAUUCGUGAGAAUAUUUGGAGAUAUCGGAAGUGAGAAUGUUGACAUGAGUAACGAUAAAGAGGGUGAGAAACCCUCUCGCCGAAAGUCCAAGGGUUCCUGCUUAAAGUUAAUCUGAGCAGGGUUAGCCGGCCCCUAACGCGAGGGCGAAAGCCGUAGUGGAUGGGAAUGAGGUUAAUAUUCCUCAGCCAGUGGGUAGUGACGGAUUUGGUAACCUGUAUUUUCUUAUUGGAUUGAGAAUGCAGCGAACAAGUUCCAGGAAAUAGCUCCCACAUUACUGACCGUACCCCAAACCGACACAGGUGGACGAGUAGAGAAUACUAAGGCGCUUGAGAGAACUAUGUUGAAGGAACUCGGCAAAAUACCUCCGUAACUUCGGGAGAAGGAGGCCCGGUCUUAAGGCAACUUUUGGUCGGGGGCACAAAAUUGGGGGUGGCGACUGUUUACUAAAAACACAGGACUCUGCGAAGCCGUAAGGCGACGUAUAGGGUCUGACGCCUGCCCGGUGCUGGAAGGUUAAGAGGAGGAGUGCAAGCUCCGAAUUGAAGCCCCAGUAAACGGCGGCCGUAACAAUAACGGUCCUAAGGUAGCGAAAUUCCUUGUCGGGUAAGUUCCGACCUGCACGAAUGGCGUAACGACUUCCCCGCUGUCUCCAACNUAGACUCAGUGAAAUUGAAUUUCCCGUGAAGAUGCGGGAUAACUGCGGUUAGACGGAAAGACCCCGUGCACCUUUACUACAGCUUUGCAGUGAUAUUAGUAAUGCUAUGUGUAGGAUAGGUGGGAGGCUUUGAAGCAUUAGCGCCAGUUAGUGUGGAGCCAUCCUUGAAAUACCACCCUUAUCCUUAUUGAUAUCUAACCGCGGUCCGUGAAACCGGAUCCGGGACCCUGCAUGGUGGGUAGUUUGACUGGGGCGGUCGCCUCCCAAAGAGUAACGGAGGCGCGCGAAGGUAGGCUCAGGCCGGUCGGAAAUCGGUCGUUGAGUGCAAUGGCA
rnacentral:rRNA from 1 species